rnacentral:rRNA from 1 species
UACGUAGGGUGCAAGCGUUAUCCGGAUUCACUGGGUUUAAAGGGUGCGUAGGAGGGCAGGUAAGUCAGUGGUGAAAUCUCCGAGCUUAACUUGGAAACUGCCGUUGAUACUAUCUGUCUUGAAUAUUGUGGAGGUGAGCGGAAUAUGUCAUGUAGCGGUGAAAUGCUUAGAUAUGACAUAGAACACCGAUAGCGAAGGCAGCUUGCUACACGAGUAUUGACACUGAGGCACGAAAGCGUGGGGAUCAAACAGG